GUUAACUUAGUGUAAAAAUAACACAUCGGACUUUCAAGCCGAAAAAACUAACAAGUAGCUAACCC
rnacentral:tRNA from 1 species